ACCAUAUCACAUUGAAAUACCAGUUCUUGUAAGAUCCCUGAAGUUAAUCAACCUCAAGCCUGAUCAGUAUCUAGAUGGGUGACCACUUGGGAAUACCAGUUGCUGCCAG